ACGUAGGGGACAAGCGUUAUCCGGAUUUACUGGGCGUAAAGCGCCCGUAGGCGGCUCAAUAAGUUGGACGUGAAAGCUCCCGGCUUAACUGGGAGAGGCCGUUCAAAACUGUUAAGCUAGAGUGAGGAAGAGGAGAGCAGAAUUCCCGGUGUAGUGGUGGAAUGCGUAGAGAUCGGGAGGAAUACCAGUGGCGAAAGCGGCUCUCUGGUCCUAAACUGACGCUGAGGGGCGAAAGCGUGGGGAGCGAACGGGA
rnacentral:rRNA from 1 species